rnacentral:rRNA from 1 species
GACGAACGCUGGCGGCGUGCUUAACACAUGCAAGUCGAACGGUGAUGCUCCAGCUUGCUGGCGUGGAUCAGUGGCGAACGGGUGAGUAACACGUGAGCAACCUGCCCCAGACUCUGGAAUAAGCGCUGGAAACGGCGUCUAAUACUGGAUACGAAACUGGCCCGCAUGGGCAUGGUUUGUAAAGUUUUUCGGUUUGGGAUGGGCUCGCGGCCUAUCAGCUUGUUGGUGAGGUAAUGGCUCACCAAGGCGACGACGGGUAGCCGGCCUGAGAGGGCGACCGGCCACACUGGGACUGAGACACGGCCCAGACUCCUACGGGAGGCAGCAGUGGGGAAUAUUGCACAAUGGGCGAAAGCCUGAUGCAGCGACGCCGCGUGAGGGAUGACGGCCUUCGGGUUGUAAACCUCUUUCAGCAGGGAAGAAGCGAAAGUGACGGUACCUGCAGAAGAAGCACCGGCUAACUACGUG